CAAUAGCGUAUAUUAAAGUUGUUGCAGUUAAAAAGCUCGUAGUUGGAUUUCGGGGCAGCCUGGCUGGUCCGCCGCAAGGCGAGUACUGGUCAGCCGCCCUUCCUCUCGAAAGCCCCGACUGCUCUUUAUUGCAGUGGUCGGGUAGUUCGGAACGUUUACUUUGAAAAAAUUAGAGUGUUCAAGGCAGGCCUACGCCUGAAUACAUUAGCAUGGAAUAAUGGAAGAGGACCUCGGUCCUAUUUUGUUGGUUUCCAGGACCGAAGUAAUGAUUAAGAGGGACAGUUGGGGGCAUUCGUAUUUAAUUGUCAGAGGUGAAAUUCUCGGAUUUAUGAAAGACGAACAACUGCGAAAGCAUUUGCCAAGGAUGUUUUCAUUAA
rnacentral:rRNA from 1 species